rnacentral:rRNA from 1 species
UACGUAGGGUGCGAGCGUUGUCCGGAUUUAUUGGGCGUAAAGAGCUUGUAGGCGGCUCGUCACGUCGGGUGUGAAAACUUGCGGCUUAACCGCAAGCCUGCACCCGAUACGGGCGGGCUAGAGUUCGGCAGGGGAGACUGGAAUUCCUGGUGUAGCGGUGGAAUGCGCAGAUAUCAGGAGGAACACCGGUGGCGAAGGCGGGUCUCUGGGCCGGUACUGACGCUGAGGCGCGAAAGCGUGGGGAGCAAACAGG